GAUGAACGCUGGCGGUAUGCUUAACACAUGCAAGUCGAACGGACUCUUCGGAGUUAGUGGCGGACGGGUGAGUAACGCGUGAGAAUCUGGCUUUGGGUUCGGGACAACCACUGGAAACGGUGGCUAAUACCGGAUGUGCCGAGAGGUAAAAGAGAAAUUGCCUGAAGAUGAGCUCGCGUCUGAUUAGCUAGUUGGUGAGGUAAAGGCUCACCAUGGCAGCGAUCAGUAGCUGGUCUGAGAGGAUGACCAGCCACACUGGGACUGAGACACGGCCCAGACUCCUACGGGAGGCAGCAGUGGGGAAUGUUCCGCCAUGGGCGAAAGACUGACGGAGCAAUACCGCGUGAGGGAAGAAGGCUCUUGGGUUGUAAACCUCUUUUCUUAGGGAAGAACAAAAUGACGGUACCUAAGGAAUCAGCAUCGGCUAACUCCGUG
rnacentral:rRNA from 1 species